rnacentral:rRNA from 1 species
AGAGUUUGAUCCUGGCUCAGGAUGAACGCUGGCGGCGUGCCUAAUACAUGCAAGUCGAGCGAACGGACGAGAAGCUUGCUUCUCUGAUGUUAGCGGCGGACGGGUGAGUAACACGUGGAUAACCUACCUAUAAGACUGGGAUAACUUCGGGAAACCGGAGCUAAUACCGGAUAAUAUUUUGAACCGCAUGGUUCAAAAGUGAAAGACGGUCUUGCUGUCACUUAUAGAUGGAUCCGCGCUGCAUUAGCUAGUUGGUAAGGUAACGGCUUACCAAGGCAACGAUGCAUAGCCGACCUGAGAGGGUGAUCGGCCACACUGGAACUGAGACACGGUCCAGACUCCUACGGGAGGCAGCAGUAGGGAAUCUUCCGCAAUGGGCGAAAGCCUGACGGAGCAACGCCGCGUGAGUGAUGAAGGUCUUCGGAUCGUAAAACUCUGUUAUUAGGGAAGAACAUAUGUGUAAGUAACUGUGCACAUCUUGACGGUACCUAAUCAGAAAGCCACGGCUAACUACGUGCCAGCAGCCGCGGUAAUACGUAGGUGGCAAGCGUUAUCCGGAAUUAUUGGGCGUAAAGCGCGCGUAGGCGGUUUUUUAAGUCUGAUGUGAAAGCCCACGGCUCAACCGUGGAGGGUCAUUGGAAACUGGAAAACUUGAGUGCAGAAGAGGAAAGUGGAAUUCCAUGUGUAGCGGUGAAAUGCGCAGAGAUAUGGAGGAACACCAGUGGCGAAGGCGACUUUCUGGUCUGUAACUGACGCUGAUGUGCGAAAGCGUGGGGAUCAAACAGGAUUAGAUACCCUGGUAGUCCACGCCGUAAACGAUGAGUGCUAAGUGUUAGGGGGUUUCCGCCCCUUAGUGCUGCAGCUAACGCAUUAAGCACUCCGCCUGGGGAGUACGACCGCAAGGUUGAAACUCAAAGGAAUUGACGGGGACCCGCACAAGCGGUGGAGCAUGUGGUUUAAUUCGAAGCAACGCGAAGAACCUUACCAAAUCUUGACAUCCUUUGACAACUCUAGAGAUAGAGCCUUCCCCUUCGGGGGACAAAGUGACAGGUGGUGCAUGGUUGUCGUCAGCUCGUGUCGUGAGAGGNNNNNGUGACUGCCGGUGACAAACCGGAGGAAGGUGGGGAUGACGUCAAAUCAUCAUGCCCCUUAUGAUUUGGGCUACACACGUGCUACAAUGGACAAUACAAAGGGCAGCGAAACCGCGAGGUCAAGCAAAUCCCAUAAAGUUGUUCUCAGUUCGGAUUGUAGUCUGCAACUCGACUACAUGAAGCUGGAAUCGCUAGUAAUCGUAGAUCAGCAUGCUACGGUGAAUACGUUCCCGGGUCUUGUACACACCGCCCGUCACACCACGAGAGUUUGUAACACCCGAAGCCGGUGGAGUAACCUUUUAGGAGCUAGCCGUCGAAGGUGGGACAAAUGAUUGGGGUGAAGUCGUAACAAGGUAGCCGUAUCGGAAGGUGCGGCUG